UACGUAGGGGGCGAGCGUUGUCCGGAAUUAUUGGGCGUAAAGCGCGCGCAGGCGGUCCAUUAAGUCUGGUGUUUAAGCCCGGGGCUCAACCCCGGUACGCACGGGAAACUGGUGGACUGGAGUGCAGGAGAGGGAAGUGGAAUUCCACGUGUAGCGGUGAAAUGCGUAGAGAUGUGGAGGAACACCAGUGGCGAAGGCGACUUUCUGGCCUGUAACUGACGCUGAGGCGCGAAAGCGUGGGGAGCAAACAGG
rnacentral:rRNA from 1 species